AAUGCCUGGGUCUCAGUCUGUGUAUUUAGCGAAAAUAAACAAAAAAUCAUAAAAAAAUAAGUAUGGCCUUGAUUAUUACCAUUCAAGUUUUAUAUGAUUUAUCAAAGGAGAUUCUAAAAGAUGACCUACUUUUCGUUGUCAUGGCAACGAUCACGUGAUGUAUAUUUCAAAAAACAACACAAAAAAUAAUACUUUUUAUUCAGAGGCUCUGCAGCAGUAUAUUUCGUGACUGGGAGGACGCAGAAUUGCGAUAAUCAUUCACACAUAAUAUCACUGUUUAUUGAAUAAAUUCGGAAAGUUUACAUUUAGGCUUCGUUUCAUUAUUUUAUGCGGCUAUAUUACGAUGAUCGGC